AGUGGGGAAUAUUGCACAAUGGGCGGAAGCCUGAUGCAGCGACGCCGCGUGAGGGAUGACGGCCUUCGGGUUGUAAACCUCUUUCAGCAGGGACGAAGGGUGACUGACGGUACCUGCAGAAGAAGCGCCGGCCAACUACGUGCCAGCAGCCGCGGUAAGACGUAGGGCGCGAGCGUUGUCCGGAUUUAUUGGGCGUAAAGAGCUCGUAGGCGGCUUGUCGCGUCGUCCGUGAAAACCUGCAGCUCAACUGCAGGCUUGCGGUCGAUACGGGCAGGCUAGAGUUCGGUAGGGGAGACUGGAAUUCCUGGUGUAGCGGUGAAAUGCGCAGAUAUCAGGAGGAACACCGGUGGCGAAGGCGGGUCUCUGGGCCGAUACUGACGCUGAGGAGCGAAAGCGUGGGGAGCGAA
rnacentral:rRNA from 1 species